UACGGAGGGUGCAAGCGUUAUCCGGAUUCACUGGGUUUAAAGGGUGCGUAGGUGGGUUGAUAAGUCAGUGGUGAAAUCCCCGAGCUUAACUUGGGAACUGCCAUUGAUACUAUUGAUCUUGAAUACCGUGGAGGUCAGCGGAAUAUGUCAUGUAGCGGUGAAAUGCUUAGAUAUGACAUAGAACACCAAUUGCGAAGGCAGCUCACUACGGGAUUAUUGACACUGAGGCACGAAAGCGUGGGGAUCAAACAGG
rnacentral:rRNA from 1 species